GACGAACCGAGCGAACGUUGUUCGGAAUCACUGGGCUUAAAGGGCGCGUAGGCGGUAGCACAAGUCAGUUGUGAAAUCUCCGGGCUUAACUCGGAAAGGUCAACUGAUACUGUGCGACUAGAGUGCAGAAGGGGCAACUGGAAUUCUCGGUGUAGCGGUGAAAUGCGUAGAUAUCGAGAGGAACACCUGCGGCGAAGGCGGGUUGCUGGGCUGACACUGACGCUGAGGCGCGAAAGCCAGGGGAGCAAACAGG
rnacentral:rRNA from 1 species